CAGUUGUUUCUCCAGCUGUUGACUGUGUAACUGAAGUUCAGUGGUCGUGAAAACUCCACUUACUCUUUUUCUACAAAGAAGGCGAGACAUUUAGAGCAGACAUGGCGCUUACCGACGCUGACGUGCAGAAACAGAUCAAGCACAUGAUGGCCUUCAUUGAACAAGAGGCCAAUGAGAAAGUGGAAGAGAUUGAUUCCAAGGCAGAGGAAGAAUUCAACAUCGAGAAAGGUCGACUAGUGCAGACACAGAGGGUAAAAAUAAUGGAGUACUAUGAGAAAAAAGAAAAACAGAUCGAGCAACAUAAAAAAAUCCAGAUGUCAAACCUGAUGAACCAAGCUAGACUAAAGGUGCUGAAGGCACGUGACGACAUGAUCAAGGAUUUGUUGAACGAGGCCCGUCAAAGACUUGCAGAGAUUGCCAAGGAUCCUGUUCAGUACUCCGCACUACUAGAGGGCCUCAUACUUCAGGCAUUCUAUCAACUGCUGGAGCCUAAGGUUACCAUUCGCUGUCGACAGCAGGAUGUAGAAAUUAUUGAGGCUGCAGUUACUAAGAACAUCGCUGUUUACAAACAGGCAGUGAAGAGCAACAUAGACGUUAGAAUUGACAAGGAACGCUUUCUUUCAUCAGAAAUCUGCGGAGGAGUAGAAGUGUAUAAUGAUAAUGGGAAGAUCAAGGUUUCCAACACUUUGGAGAGCAGGCUAGACCUUAUGGCACAUCAGAUGAUGCCUGAAGUCAGAGUGAACUUGUUUGGUGCCAACCCCAACCGCAAGUUCACAGAUUAACAGUGGAUCUGAAGGGGGUGCAGUGACACAGGUGGAACAUUUAAGGUGGCCCCUGCCCCCCUGUAGAGGCCGGCCAGGCCACGAGACCUCAAUAGAUCCACAGUGAUGCCUGUAGCUGAGGGCCGUUGUUGAGGUGUCGGUCGGGGCUGUGGUCGGGCGGACACUAGUGAUGGAGCUGGACCAGGAGCAGCAGCAGCAGCAGCAGCCUGAGCUGCAGUUGGCACAGGCCUUUGUGCAGCUGACGGAAAAACACACAGUGUCUCAGGGCCUGAGGAACCCAGACCUUCUUGUUGUGAGGCAACAGUGCUAGCCACUACUCCACCAUGUGGCCCUGGACCACUUUUAAUGUUUUUUAAUUUCCCUAUUUUCUCCCAUGUAUGAAAAAAAACUGAAUAUGUUCAUUGAUUGAUUUAUUUACUACAGAAGCAGGUUUUGUUCAGAGAAGGAAGAACGACUGCUGGUUCAGUGCCUAACACUGACGACACUGAGGAGAUACUGUAUACAUAUAUAUACAUCACAUUAUACUAUGUAUAAUAUGUAUAUACAAUGUGUACAAAUUAUAUAUAUAGCAUAUAGUGAAUAUUGUAAUGUGCUCCUAAUAUAAUAAACCCUGUCCCUCCUGGAGAAUUUAUAAGCUUUGCUCUUGCACCACCCUUAGGCCAACUGUAAAAAUGCAUGUUCCUUGAAUCCAAUAAUGUAAUAUAAUGCUUUUAAAAGGGUUCAGUGAUGAGGAAACCAUUCCAGUGCCAGCCCCAGGGCAGUUUGUAUUUACAGUUCGUAAAUAGCCCACUGACAUUGACUUGAACUUCUGGAUCUCAAAUCCUGCAUUUGAUUAGAAAAAAUCAUCAAUAUUUUAAUUUUAUUUUGCAGGUUCAUUUAAUUUGAAUGCAUACAUUGGUGCUUGAGUUGAUGCAAGCCAUGUGAGACAUGCUAUACAAAAAAUAAUUUAUGUUUGUUUAUUGUAUUCACCUUAUGCCAAACAACUAUUUUAAUAUUUUAUUUUAUUCCAUCUUAUUGCCAAUUUUUCUGUUUUUAUAUCCAUAUACUAUGCCUUGUUUCCACUGCUGUAUUUCUAUUUUUUUGCAUGGAGCAUCUGGAACAAAAACAAUUUCCCCCUGGGAUUAAUAAAGUAUUCUGAUUCUGA